UCCCAAAGUGCUGGGAUUACAGGCAUGAGCCACUGCACUUGGCCCUGGCUGCCCUUUCAAUCAGCCAGCAACCUUGGAGUCUAUGGGAAGAAUUUUGCAAGAGCAGGUAAUAAGAUGAUAAUGCUUUGUGUGUGUGCAUGACUCGAGCAAAUCGCUUUCUCCUGCCAUUUGCCCGCUGGCGUGGCGGUAAGAAUGCUUUGAGCUUGGAUUUAAGAUGAGGUAGACAGGUCUUGACUUGAGAAGAUGUGGAUUUGAGAUCCAGUGGUCUGACCUGAGGUUCACACUUGGCUUUUGUGAGUAGCAGUUUCUUUGGGGGCUAAUGUGUGCUCUGCCGUCUCACUGAGGCGCUGUGAGGAUCAAACGAAGGGAUACGCGUGAGAGUGUCUUGAACGCUGCACCCAUUCCCACAAACCUGAAGCGUCACGGACAUGCUGCUAGGUUUAUUUUCCACCGGGUCACCCGCCCUGACUGCCCCUACUGGGACGGGCAGCUGGAGAAGCGGGAGGCCUGAGAGAAGGACAAGGGAGCGUCCCACUUCGGGACGUUCGCAAGGUCUCCAAACUGAUGGGCUGUGUAGCCCCCAGCUUGUUUCUGUCCAGUGCUGUUGACUGAGCAUUCUGCCUCACAUGCAGCUUCCACUGGAUGGCUUCCGUGGCCUCAGGAGC
rnacentral:lncRNA from 1 species